UACGUAGGGUGCGAGCGUUUGUCCGGAAUUAUUGGGCGUAAAGAGCUCGUAGGCGGUGUGUCGCGUCGGCCGUGAAAACCUGGGGCUCAACUCUGGGCGUGCGGUCGAUACGGGCAUCACUUGAGUUCGGCAGGGGAGACUGGAAUUCCUGGGUGUAGCGGUGAAAUGCGCAGAUAUCAGGAGGAACACCGGUGGGCGAAGGCGGUUCUCUGGGCCUUACCUGACACUGGAGGAGCGAAAGCCGUGGGGAGCGAACAGG
rnacentral:rRNA from 1 species